UACGUAGGGUGCGAGCGUUGUCCGGAUUUAUUGGGCGUAAAGGGCUCGUAGGCGGCGUGUCGCGUCGGGAGUGAAAGCCCGCUGCUUAACGGCGGGUUGGCUUCCGGUACGGGCAUCGCUGGAGUGCGGCAGGGGAGACUGGAAUUCCUGGUGUAGCGGUGAAAUGCGUAGAUAUCGGGAGGAACACCAGUGGCGAAGGCGGCUUCCUGGCCUGCAACUGACGCUGAGGCGCGAAAGCUAGGGGAGCAAACAGG
rnacentral:rRNA from 1 species